rnacentral:rRNA from 1 species
GACGAACGCUGGCGGCGUGCCUAAUACAUGCAAGUUGAGCGCUGAAGGUUGGUACUUGUACCAACUGGAUGAGCAGCGAACGGGUGAGUAACGCGUGGGGAAUCUGCCUUUGAGCGGGGGACAGCAUUUGGAAACGAAUGCUAAUACCGCAUAAAAACUUUAAACACAAGUUUUAAGUUUGAAAGAUGCAAUUGCAUCACUCAAAGAUGAUCCCGCGUUGUAUUAGCUAGUUGGUGAGGUAAAGGCUCACCAAGGCGAUGAUACAUAGCCGACCUGAGAGGGUGAUCGGCCACAUUGGGACUGAGACACGGUCCAAACUCCUACGGGAGGCAGCAGUAGGGAAUCUUCGGCAAUAGACGAAAGUCUGACCGAGCAACGCCGCGUGAGUGAAGAAGGUUUUCGGAUCGUAAAACUCUGUUGGUAGAGAAGAACGUUGGUGAGAGUGGAAAGCUCAUCAAGUGACGGUAACUACCCAGAAAGGGACGGCUAACUACGUG